AUCCUUGUAAUGCGCCUUGAGCUUCUAAUAAUUAUAAUACCACCUCAAAUCAAUACAUAUAGAGCCCGUUUAAUAUUAUCAAUAAAAUUGUUGUUGAAAAAAGCAACUUAUUAAAUAUGUUAGCUUAAGGAUAUUAAAAGUUAAAAUAAUGUCAAAUUUUAUAUGUUACUAAUAAAAACUCCAAAAUAAAGUCUUUUUUCA
rnacentral:misc_RNA from 1 species